rnacentral:rRNA from 1 species
CACGUAGGGGGCGAGCGUUGUCCGGAUUUAUUGGGCGUAAAGAGCUCGUAGGCGGUUUGGCAAGUCGGGUGUGAAAUUUCGAGGCUCAACCUCGAAACGCCACUCGAUACUGCCAUGACUGGAGUCCGGUAGAGGAGUGCGGAAUUCCUGGUGUAGCGGUGAAAUGCGCAGAUAUCAGGAGGAACACCAACGGCGAAGGCAGCACUCUGGGCCGGUACUGACGCUGAGGAGCGAAAGCCAAGGGAGCAAACAGG